GAUGAACGCUAGCGGCAGGCUUAAUACAUGCAAGUCGUGGGGCAGCAUGAGUAGCAAUACUUGAUGGCGACCGGCAAACGGGUGAGGAACACGUACACAACCUUCCUUCAAGCGGGGAAUAGCCCAGAGAAAUUUGGAUUAAUACCCCAUAAUAUAUUUGAUAGGGCAUCUUAUUAAUAUUAAAGCUUCGGCACUUGAUGAUGGGUGUGCGGCUGAUUAGAUAGUUGGCGGGGUAACGGCCCACCAAGUCUACGAUCAGUAGCUGAUGUGAGAGCAUGAUCAGCCACACGGGCACUGAGACACGGGCCCGACUCCUACGGGAGGCAGCAGUAAGGAAUAUUGGACAAUGGACGAAAGUCUGAUCCAGCCAUGCCGCGUGAAGGAUUAAGGUCCUCUGGAUUGUAAACUUCUUUAUAUGGGACGAAAAAGGGCAUUCUUGUUCACUUGACGGUACCAUAUGAAUAAGCACCGGCUAACUCCGUGCCAG
rnacentral:rRNA from 1 species